rnacentral:rRNA from 1 species
GACGAACGCUGGCGGCGUGCCUAAUACAUGCAAGUUGAGCGAUGAAGAUUGGUGCUUGCACCAAUUUGAAGAGCAGCGAACGGGUGAGUAACGCGUGGGGAAUCUGCCUUUGAGCGGGGGACAACAUUUGGAAACGAAUGCUAAUACCGCAUAACAACUUUAAACAUAAGUUUUAAGUUUGAAAGAUGCAAUUGCAUCACUCAAAGAUGAUCCCGCGUUGUAUUAGCUAGUUGGUGAGGUAAAGGCUCACCAAGGCGAUGAUACAUAGCCGACCUGAGAGGGUGGUCGGCCACAUUGGGACUGAGACAGGGCCCAAACUCCUACGGGAGGCAGCAGUAGGGAAUCUUCAGCAAUGGGCGAAAGUCUGACCGAGCAACGCCGCGUGAGUGAAGAAGGUUUUCGGAUCGUAAAACUCGGUUGGUAGAGAAGAACGUUGGUGAGAGUGGAAAGCUCAUCAAGUGACGGUAACUACCCAGAAAGGGACGGCUAACUACGUG